GACCUGAGUCUGGCCCGUAGGCUACCUCCUGAAGUUGAGAGUGUUUCUGCCUCUGGUGAAGCCUUGUGUUAGCUUUCACACACAUGAUGUUAAGGGGUGAAUUGUCCUUUCUUAUUUUUUCUCAUUUCUCUUACUGCUAUUUUGAAAACUCCUCUAGAGUAUGGGCGAAGAAAGUAAAAGUGAAACUCAGCACAUUUUUAAAAAAUUAGUCAUUGUAUUUUUCAAAGGAAAGUUGCUGAAAGAGAAACCAAGGGAAUCUACAGAUUAGAACAAGAUCUAGGGAGGCUUCUCCUCAGAGCAGCAACGACCGGGAGGACUCUGUGGUGGAAACACUCUGCCCCGCUCUGUCCGUUGCGGUCGCCAUUCAGGCGAGUGUGGCUUUGAGCACUUGACAUAUGCAUCAUUCAGCCACCAAAUCUAUCUGUAAGUCUGGGGAAAGGAGCCACAGAGGAAGACUGUGGGGAGAUGAGAGUCAUGACGAGAAAAACCACUUGUUGUUCUAACCACUUCUCCCAGGAGGAGACUGUGACCCAGGGAGUUUCUCUGGGAGCUUUGCCAUUGAAACCUCUGUACAUCCCCUGGCAACAGACGAUUUGCUGCACUGCUGAAAGGAGCAGACAGGGGCUGGGCGCGGGGAGUGCCGAAGCUCACAAAGGAACUGUCCUCUUAAAUAACAAGCCCACUGCUCGCCAAGGCUGCUGGAGCGCUUUCAUUCAACAGGGGUCUGGAGCAACCACCUCUCUGCCUGGCAUAUAAAUCUCUGUGGGCUUUCUUCCUUCUAGGUUUUUUCCUCUUUUGGGUGUGGAUGGGUUCUACUGUCUGUUGCUUUGCUUUUUUUUUAGUUGAGAAAAAUCUGAUUAAAGAACUGAUGAUUUCAUCUUCAGGUCUCCUGUGUAUUAUGUGAAGUGACACAGUGUUCUUUAUUUCCACACUAAACACAUUAAAAGGUAACUGUAGAAUUUUUAUAUUUGUGCUUCGUGUGCAUUAUACUCGUAGAUGCAACUUUUGUACAGAAAGGCAAGAAAACAGGACGCAUCAUGAAAGGUUUAAAGUGGGAAGUAAAAUUAAUUUACUUCAUAGUACAUGGACUUACAUCAUAUUAUAUAUACUUUUGAAGUUCAGGGAACCUACUAAAGGGGAAGGAGUUUAAUGUUUUCGUGUGGAAUUCUGUCUCUGCCCUGUCGUGGUAUAUUUGGGGUUAAUAUGUGUCCUUUCCAUCUUAAUGUAUGUAAACUUCAUUCUAAAGCUUUGUAAGUAAAUAUCUGAAGGUUUCCAGGUUAUUCUAAGCAAAGUUUGUCAAAACAGAGCACCUGAAAAGGUCCACCCCCUCAUUUAUUGACAAAAUAUCUUAUUUCAGGACUUUGUUUUCAGUAGACAAGUUGCUCAUUGGUGGCUUUUUCCACAUUUUUUGACAUUUUUGAGUGGCAUUGUGACAGCAGUAUAUCGGAGCAGCGUAGGGGCAAAUACAUAAAAUGCAGGCGUACUGACUUUGUAUGAGUUUGCAUUUAUUAGGCCUGGUCAUGUAUGCCAAUUCACAGGCAUAUCUGAGUAUAUGAAAACAAAUAAUCCUAAUAAAAUUGUUACGAUAAAUAUAUAAACAGUACAAAAAAGAUGGGAUGAAAGAAAGGCAGUUCUAAGAAAGAAGUUUAUAACCAUAAACACCUGUACUAAGGAAAAAAAUAACUCAACCAAACUUACUUUACACCUGAAAGAAUUAGAAGAAAAAACUAAGCCGUAAGUUAGUAGAAGGGAAAUAACAAAGAUCAGAGCAAAACUAAAUGAAAUAGAGACCAAAAAAAAAAAAAAAAAAAAAAAAAA
rnacentral:lncRNA from 1 species